rnacentral:rRNA from 1 species
UACGAAGGGGGCUAGCGUUGCUCGGAAUUACUGGGCGUAAAGCGCACGUAGGCGGCUUUCUAAGUCGGGGGUGAAAUCCUGGAGCUCAACUCCAGAACUGCCUUCGAUACUGGAGAGCUCGAGUCCGGGAGAGGUGAGUGGAACUGCGAGUGUAGAGGUGAAAUUCGUAGAUAUUCGCAAGAACACCAGUGGCGAAGGCGGCUCACUGGCCCGGUACUGACGCUGAGGUGCGAAAACGUGGGGAGCAAACAGG